GAUUUGUAUGUUCUCUGUAACUGGCAUAAUGUAGGAUUCUCAAGGCUCUUUUUUGUAGUAUAAACAGGGGCUAGUGGGGUAGUGGUAGUGGUUUUGUAAGUGUGUCCCCAGACCUCUGCGCAGUAUUGCAGGUGUGGAGAGACUAGUGCGCAGUACAACAAGUACAGUGCCUUCUGGUUUAAUAGUUUUUGUGCCCUCCAAAGUAUGGACACACUCCUGGCCAGCUUGCCUUUUAACAGCUUGGUGUGUGGCUUCCAACUUAACAUGUCAUCAAAAAUCACUCCCAGCACUUUAUACUCACUAACCCGUUCAAUGUCCACUCCAUUAACUUGUAUGUUAAUACUAGUCUUACAGCCUUUUUUCCCAUACAGCAUAUAUUUAGUUUUCCCUAAAUUUAGUGAUAGUUUAUUUAUAUUAAACCACACAUGUAGCUUGGCCAUUUCAUUAUUGACUGUUUCCACUAGCUGGUUUUGGUCUUCCCCCGAACAGAAAAUAUUAGUAUCAUCUGCAAAUAAUGUCAAUUUCAGAAUAUUGGAUACCUUGCAUAUGUCAUUAAUGUAUAGUAUAAACAGUUUGGGGCCCAGCACUGAUCCUUGUGGGACCCCACAAAUUAUGUCCAACCAAGUCGAUGUGCAAUCUCCCAUCUUAACAUAUUGAGAUCUGUUGUGAAGAUAACUCUUGACCCAUUCCAGUGCUAUGACUCUUAUACCAUAUCUCUCCAGUUUAGCUAUCAAAAUAUCAUGGUUGAUGAACUAGAAAGAGAGACCAUAUAACUCCAGUGUUAGCUUCUCUACACUGGCUCCCCAUACAGUUUAGAAUUAAAUUUAAAAUCCUCCUCCUCACGUACAAAGCACUUAAUGGUCAGGCCCCUUCAUACCUGAAAGACCUAGUCUUACCCUAUCAUCCUAAUAGACCACUUAGGUCACAAAAUACAGGUUUACUUGUGGUUCCCAGAGUCUGUAAGAGUAGAAUGGGAGGCAGAGCCUUUAGCUACCAGGCUCCUCUCCUGUGGAACCAGCUUCCAAUGAUAGUUCGGGAGGCGGACACUCUCUCUGUAUUUAAAGUUAGACUUAAAACUUUCCUUUUUGAUAAAGCUUAUAGUUAGAGCAGGUUCAGGGAAACCUGGACCAUCUCUUAGUUAUGCUGCUAUAGAACUAAACUGCUGGGGGAUUUUCCUGUGUUUGUGUCUUUCCUUCCUUCCCUCUCUCUCUCUCUGUAUUCUCAUCAUGCAGGUUGCAGGAUCAAGAUCCAGUUUCCGAGGCUACGCUCAUCGUCACUAUUAUUAUUAUUUUGUAAUUAAAAAGUCGAUAUCAGUAACUGUAUAAACUUGUAACCUGAUACAGUUGUUGUGUAUCUGCUGCUGGUCUCCCUCUCUCUCUUCUGUCUCUCCCUCAUCUCCCUCUUGUCCUUUCUCUCCCCCCAUUUUCUGUCCCCCACCUCUCCACUGUCCCCCAUUUUUCCUUUCACCCCAACCGGUCGAGGCAGAUGACCGCACAUCUCUGAGCCUGGUUCUGUCAGAGAUUUCUUCCUGUUAAGAGGGAGUUUUUUCUCUCCACUGAUGCCUAGUGUUUGCUCAUUGUGUGAACUAUUGGGGUUCUCUGCUCUCUUUGAUGUUGUCUAUGUACAGUGCCUUGAGAUAAUGUAUGUUAUGAUUUGGCGCUAUACAAAUAAAAUUGAAUUGAAUUGAA